rnacentral:rRNA from 1 species
UACGUAGGGGCCAAGCGUUGUCCGGAUUUAUUGGGCGUAAAGAGCUCGUAGGCGGUUGGGUAAGUCGGGUGUGAAAACUCCAGGCUCAACUUGGAGAUGCCACCCGAUACUGCUCUGACUUGAGUUCGGUAGGGGAGUGGGGAAUUCCUGGUGUAGCGGUGAAAUGCGCAGAUAGUCAGGAGGAACACCGGUGGCGAAGGCGGUUCUCUGGGCAUUACCUGACGCUGAGGAGCGGAAAGCCCAGGGGAGCAAACGGG